rnacentral:rRNA from 1 species
ACUCACAUGCAAGUCGAGGGGCAACAUGAAGUAGCAAUACUUUGAUGGCGACCGGCGCACGGGUGAGUAACGCGUAUGUAACCUACCUUCUACAGGGGGAUAACCCGGAGAAAUUCGGACUAAUACCGCAUAAUACAGGGAUUCCGCAUGGAAAUAUUUGUUAAAGAUUUAUUGGUAGAAGAUGGGCAUGCGUUCCAUUAGCCAGUUGGUGAGGUAACGGCUCACCAAAGCGAUGAUGGAUAGGGGAACUGAGAGGUUUGUCCCCCACACUGGAACUGAGACACGGACCAGACUCCUACGGGAGGCAGCAGUGAGGAAUAUUGGUCAAUGGGCGGUAGCCUGAACCAGCCAAGUCGCGUGAAGGAAGACUGCCUUAUGGGUUGUAAACUUCUUUUGUAGGAGAGUAAAAAGAAGGAUGUAUCCUUUAUUGCAAGUAUCCUACGAAUAAGCAUCGGCUAACUCCGUGCCAGCAGCCGCGGUAAUACGGAGGAUGCGAGCGUUAUCCGGAUUUAUUGGGUUUAAAGGGUGCGUAGGCGGAUUUUUAAGUCAGUGGUGAAAUCUAGAGGCUUAACCUCUAAACUGCCAUUGAAACUGGGGAUCUUGAGUAUAGAUGAAGUAGGCGGAACUCGUUGUGUAGCGGUGAAAUGCAUAGAUAUAACGAAGAACCCCGAUUGCGUAGGCAGCUUACUAAACUAUAACUGACGCUGAAGCACGAAAGCGUGGGUAUCAAACAGGAUUAGAUACCCUGGUAGUCCACGCCGUAAACUAUGAUUACUAGUUGUUUGCGAUAAAUAGUAAGUGACUAAGCGAAAGCGAUAAGUAAUCCACCUGGGGAGUACGCCGGCAACGGUGAAACUCAAAGGAAUUGACGGGGGCCCGCACAAGCGGAGGAACAUGUGGUUUAAUUCGAUNAUACGCGAGGAACCUUACCCGGGCUUGAAUUGCAGAGGAAGGAUUUAGAGAUAAUGACGCCCUUCGGGGCCUCUGUGAAGGUGCUGCAUGGUUGUCGUCAGNUCGUGCCGUGGAGGUCGCUNGAUGNUNAAGUGCCAUAACGAGCGCAACCCCUCUCUUCAGUUGCCAUCAGGUAAAGCUGGGCACUCUGGAGACACUGCCACCGUAAGGUGUGAGGAAGGUGGGGAUGACGUCAAAUCAGCACGGCCCUUACGUCCGGGGCUACACACGUGUUACAAUGGCCGGUACAGAGGGAUGGUGUAAUGCAAAUUGCAUCAAAUCUUGAAAGCCGGUCCCAGUUCAGACUGGGGUGGAGGUCGCUAGAUGGUC